rnacentral:misc_RNA from 1 species
GAUGAAGAACGUAGCGAAAUGCGAUAAGUAAUGCGAAUUGCAGAAUCCGUGAGUCAUCGAAUCUUUGAACGCACAUUGCGCCCGUUGGCAUUCCAACGGGCAUGCCUGUUCGAGCGUCAUUGGCUUCUCCAGCGCUGCUGGGUGCUGGGCGAGUGGGGUGCCGCGCGUGCCCCUCGCCUCAAAUGCAUUGGCCGCCCGCCGUCCCGGGAAGGAGCGCAGCACAGUCCGCGCGCCUCGCCGGGGGGCGGUGUCCACAAGUGGCUUCUACGCUUGACCUCGGAUCAGGUAGGGAUACCCGCUGAACUUAAGCAUAUCAAUAAGCGGAGGA